rnacentral:rRNA from 1 species
UACGUAGGGGGCAAGCGUUGUCCGGAUUUAUUGGGCGUAAAGAGCGUGUAGGCGGCCAGGUAGGUCCGUUGUGAAAACUCGAGGCUCAACCUCGAGACGUCGGCGGAAACCCUCUGGCUAGAGUCCGGAAGAGGAGAGUGGAAUUCCUGGUGUAGCGGUGAAAUGCGCAGAUAUCAGGAAGAACACCCGUGGCGAAGGCGGGUCUCUGGGCAAUUCCUGACGCUGAGGCGCGAAAGCGUGGGGAGCAAACGGG